AAAAGUACUAGCUGCUUUUUCACAGGACCCAAGUUCAGUUCAUGACACCUAAAAUGGCAGCUAACAACCAAGGGGGAUCUAAUUCCUUCUUCUGCCUGCCUUAGGCAAUGUAUGCAUAUGAUGCACAGAUAUUCAUAAAAAAAUCUUUAAAAUAUUGUCUGUAUUAGAGAGAUGGAUCAGUGAUUAAGAGCAUGUACUUCUCUCUUUACAGGUCUCUUUAAAUUACUUUCUAUUUAUGUAGUAUGCGUGGGUGUUUUGCCAUUGUGUUUAUGUACCACGUGCAUGCCUGGAUUGCCCUUGUGGUUAGAAGGGAAAAGCAAACUUUUUGGGACUGGGUUUACAAAUGGUUGUGUUGCCAUGUUGGUGUUGGGAAUGGUUUUCUGGACAAGCAGCCAGUGCUCUUAACCGCUGACUGCUCUCUCCAGCCUGAGUGCACUGCUCUGCAGAAGACCCAGUUAGAUUCCCAGCAUCUACUUUAGGCAACCUCCGGCUUGAGGGGAACAAGAUACUUCUGGCCUCUUGAGCAGCUGAACUCACAUACCCAUACCCAGACAUUCACAUACACAUAAUUAAAAAUGAUUUUUUUUACAUCUUUACAUAUUUGUUUUUACAAACAAAGAUUUUUGUAUUAAAGUCAAGUGGAAAAAUUGUAAACUGAAAGUCCAGUAAACCAGGAGAUGGCACUACAACUAAAUGUCAAAACUUCCAUUAUCCUAGUGAGACUUCAUAUUAGAUAUCUGAUACUACUCAGUAAAGAUUCAGCAACUGAUAGCUUCCCUGGCAUUCUUGCUAAAUACUCAUAACCUCAUUGCAUUGUCAUCAGGAGAACACACUAGACCACUGCAAUGAAGUCACAGCCGGCUGCAGAGGUGGGUCAGUGGUUAGGAGCCAUAUCCUGCCUGUGCAGAGAUUCUGGUUUCAUCUCCCAGCACCCAUAUGGUGGGUGGCUCAGAACCUUGUAACUCUAGCUCCAGAGUAUCUGCUGACCUCCACAGCCAUGCUCAUGAUACGCACACGCACACACACAGGCAAACACUCAUACACACAGAAUAAAGGAAAAUUGUUUGUUAGUUUGUCUUUGACUAACCUUGCUAUCUUGAAACUCACUCUGCAUGCAGUUCAGGUUGGUCUUAAACUCAGAGAUUUGCCUGCCCCUGACGUCCAAGUGCUGGGAUUAAAGGUGUGUGCUAUCACACUUGGCUAAAAUAAAUAAAUCCUUUUGUCUACUUGUUUUAUUUCUCAAGACUGGGUUUCUCUGUAUUCUUGGCUGUCCUGGAAUUCUCAGGCUGGCUUUACAUUACACUACAGAGAUCUGCCUGCCUCUGCCAAGUGCUAGUAAUAAAGGUGUGUGUCAUCACUGCAUGGCUUUUUUAUUUUUUAAAUAAGUAAAUAAAUAAAAUUUAAAGAGAUAGAGGAGAGGGAAAGAGGGCUAGGGUGAUUUCUUAGUGGGUAAAAGCACAUAUUUUGCAAGCCUUUACCAGAGUUGGAUCCCCGAAGCCAGGUGAAAAGCUUGCUAGUCUGGUAUAGGUCUGUAAUCCCAGCACUUCUACUUAAAGAUAGAAGGCAGUGGACUCUUGGGACAUGUAGUAAUCUGGAGGAUACAGUAGGAAGGCAGAAUUGAGAGUCCUGUCUGAACAAGGCAGAAGGACAGAGUCAACUCCCACAAAGGUGUCUUCUGACCACCACACGGGGCUCGGCCAUGCAUGGACCUCUACACUCACAUG
rnacentral:lncRNA from 1 species